UGCACCUCAUUGCAUGCAGAACUUUCCCAAUCAGGGAUGGAACCCACAUCCCCUGCAGUGGAAGUGCAGAGUCUUAAUCACCAGGAAGCUCCUUGCUUUUCAUUUUAUUUAGUAUAUGCUGUCUUCAUUGACUGGACCCCCUUAAUUCAUAAAGAAGGUCAUGGAACCAUACCCUGGAGGACACCAGAACCUGAUCUGGAACCACUUGACACCAGCCCUAAAAAUCUCAGUGUCUCCAGAAGGAAAGAAGAAUGCAAGAUUACUUCAGCCCUAUCUACAGGCUUAUUUCCACCCUGACAUUGUAAGACCAUUUGCUAUAUUCUGGGUUUUGGGGAGCACAGUUUUGAGGACCUUAGGCUGGUGUGGCCCCUUUGCCUUGCAAAGUAAUAAAGUUCUCUGUUCUACUCCAAA